ensembl:snRNA U6 U6 spliceosomal RNA
ACACUUCAGCAGCACAUAUACUAAAAUUGGAACCAUAUAGAGAAGAUUAGCAUGGCCCCUGAACAAGGAUGACACGCAAAUUUGUGAAGCGUUCCAUAUUUUU